UUUGGGAUUUUCUUGGCAGAGAUACUGGAGUUGUUUGCUAUUUUCUUCUCCAGAUUAUUUUGCAGAUGAAGAAAUUGAGGCAAACAGAGUUAAGUGACUUACCCAGUGUUACACAGCUAGUAAGGGUCUAAGCCCAGAUUUGGAUUCAUGUCUUCCUGAUUCCAGGUCUGGUAAUUAUUAUCCACUGAUCCACUUCUGAUAAAUAUUACCUAUUUGAACCUGGGAAGCUUUAACCUCUUUGUGCCACAAAUAACACUUCUAAAAUAAGGUGCAGAACCGUAACUACCGUGUAUUGUUAAAGGAGUUUACUAUAUCAGUGAAAUUAUAGAUUUGGACCAAAAAAUAUCUUAAAUAAGGAUUGAGAUUUCUGUGUGGUUACAAGACAUGAAAAAAGAUCUUGAACUCAGAAUUCAAAAUCCUAAUUCUGGAAUUUAAUUGAUGUUCUCUGGUCAUGGGCAAAUAAGUCAGUUAAAUUCUUUAAGCCUUAGUUUUCAUCUGUCAAAUGGGGAGAAUUAUAUAUAUAUCUAUAUUGCCCACCUCACAGAGUUUAUGAGGAAAGAGCUUUAUGAGCUACAUAAAUUUGUUAUUAUUAAGUCCUUUUCUUCAGCAAUACUGAAGAGGAUGUGCAAAUAUUAUUCCUGUUUUGCAGAUAAGAGACACAACAGAACUGAUUUGCAUCGGGUCACCUAAUAGUAUGUGUGGCACUAGAACUCAGGUCUUCUAAUUUUAGGCCCAGGGAUAUUACAUUUAACAAAAUUAGGAUUUUCCUCCUUGCCUCAAACAAGCCCCUAAAUUUAUGUGAAGAUCCUGGAGUACAGAAGUGAAUCCCCACCAAGGGCUCUCUGAAUUAUUGUCUUUUCCCUUGACUGGGAAUAGUCUUCCAGUCCACCGUUUUAGCAGUGUGCCCUUUAUUACAAUCCACCCCACGGGGAAGAAGUCUGGAAACCGGUACUAUUCUAGACAGGUGGCCUUACACAUCCCCUGUAGAGGCUACUCUCAAGCAGCGCCCCCUAGCGACAGUGCGUCCUCUUAAGAUUUUUGAGCAGGCAGGUGGAGCUAAUGUAAGAACGAAAGGUCAGCCCACGCCUGCGGGAAGUUCGAGAGAAAUCACGAUUGUGCAAAUAGAUGUCCCAUGCAACAUAGCAUGGGGUUGAAACCAUCUGGCCAAGAUCCGUCUGUCCUUAGGGAAGAGGAAAAGACUGGAAGGGGGAGGAAGUGGGCAAUCCUGGAGAGAAAAUCAAGAAAACUUGGAAUUUACGGGGGAAUAGAAUUAAUCUUGGGCUAACCCAAGUCUGGCCAGCGAGUAACGCUCAUCGAAAUCUGAACGUCAUAAUUGUUUCACUCUGGCUUCAGAAUCAUCCCCUUUCCAUUCCCCACUUCAAAGAUUAUUCUGGGGGAGGAAAGAAACAAGGGAUACAGUCCCUCCAAGAGUGCUAAUCUGGACUGGGCACUUGUAACCUUGAAUUGUAGGGGGUACACCCAAACAAUUUUGAUUUUACAUUUUUUCCGAUGCUUUAUUGUGGCAUGACCAUUAUCCUCAAGUUCUGGCAGCUCCUACCAAUUUGGAAAGACUAGAUUUAGAAUUGAAUAGGAUCCUUAGAAACCAUCCUUUGUUUUACAGGUGGGAAAACUGAGGCACCCCCAAAGGGGAAAUGAACUAUCCAAGAUCAUUCAGCUGGCAAGCGUUAGAGCCCAAAUUAGAAUUUAUAUUCUGUCUCGGAAAGCAGAGUUCUUAUCAUUGACUCAAACUGAUAUUUUAAAUAAUGUAUUGAUUAGAGAUAAAGCAAAUUGGAUAAAAAAUGUAGAAGACCAGACGAUUUGGAUUCUAAAUUUAGCCAGAGAUUUCUCCUUGAUUCUGACUCUGGGCCUGACUUUAUAAGAGUAUGGGAUCUAUUGAUCAUAGGAUCGUAGGAAUACAGAUUUUGAGAUGAAAGGAACCUCAGAACCCGUUAGUUCCACUCUCUCGUUUUACAGAUGAGUGCGGGGAGUUGGUCAUUUGUCCAAGGCUACACAGGUAGUAAACGUAAGAGGAUACAUUUGGAUCCAAAUCCUCUGAAUCCAGUCAGUGUUUCCCCCUCCUUCCUCCCUCCUUUUCUGCUUUCUAUUAGUCUCAAGCUUCUAGUGGAGUCCGGACGGCAGCUGGUCUCGGCCAGUGAGCCUGGCCAGGUGCGGGACCUGGGGCGGUGAGGCAGCGGUACACUGGGCAGCGGAGGGGAGGGCAGGGAUAGGGAGUCAGGCGGUGGGAGCUAACGGGUUGGCGCAGAUGAACUUAAGUGCGAGAGGUUUGGGCUCUUGGUUCUGCCGCUCCGUCUUCCACAUGGGACUCCGCAGACUGUCCUGAGAGGGGCCAUGGCACUGGGUUUUCUGCUCUCGGCGCUGCUGCUGCUGCUGCCCUCCUUUGGUAAGGCACCCACGAUAUGCUGAAGCACUCACCGUAUCCCUCUGCAACGCGCCUUCUCUCUGUCCGCUCUUCCACGUCGGUCCUCCAGCCUCGAGCCCCCAAGGGACUUCAGACAAGGCUCGAGAUGCCCAGGUAGAAUGCCUUCAAGUAUACCGCGGAUUCUCUGCUUGUGUAUUGCAGCUAGGAAACAGCAUGGCUGAGGCAAAGGGACUGUCCGCAGUGUGUGGGUACUGGGAAGAGUUUCAUGCCUGUGCCCUGACUACCCUCCAGGACUGUGAAGAGGAAGCUACUCUAAUCUGGGAGACAUUAAAAAAGGAAUUUAGAAAUCUUCAAUUUCCUGGGAACUUGUUUGAGCUAUGCAGCCCUAGGGGUUCUGGUGGGCCAGGCCCUUUAUUCUUUUUACCCUGGCACCUGCUGGGCACUGCCUUGUUCCUUCUUUGGUUCUAAGCAAGCCUGGGUCAGUGCAUGGAACCUACCUCCCUGAGCCAAACCCUCUCUUGUCAAAAGGAAAGAUCUUUUCCUGCCAUGUUCUAAGCCACUUGAUCCAAUAUCUAAUCCUAACAGGUGAGAGUCCUACCAUCCACUGGUUUCCUGCCUAGGUAGAUAGUAUCACUUCCCCCUACCAGAAUACAUACUGAGAAAAGAACCUACUUGUAUCUUUUACAAUUAAUUAAAAACCUUCCUGUGAUGCAGA